rnacentral:rRNA from 1 species
CGAACGGGUGAGUAACGCGUGAGGAACCUGCCUCAAAGAGGGGGGAAACAGUUGGAAACGACUGCUAAUACCGCAUAAGCCCACGGCUCGGCAUCGAGCAGAGGGAAAAGGAGUAAUCCGCUUUGAGAUGGCCUCGCGUCCGAUUAGCUAGUUGGUGAGGUAACGGCCCACCAAGGCGACGAUCGGUAGCCGGACUGAGAGGUUGAACGGCCACAUUGGGACUGAGACACGGCCCAG